UAAAAGGACCUUUUCAGGGCCACCCACAAAUUGAUUUAAAUUCAUU
rfam:Schistosoma mattheei strain Denwood, Zambia genome assembly, scaffold: SMTD_contig0015022